AAAGGGGUGCCGCACACCUAUGCGAGCUGAGAUCAUACCCUACGAACCUGAAACGGUUAAGACCGGCGAAGGGAUUGUCGGA
rnacentral:ncRNA from 1 species